UACAAUUUCGAGUUGGUGAUAGCGGUGGUCUGAUCUCCGUUCUCCAGAGAGAAAAGCAAAGUUAACCUCUUCAAAAUUCGAACCUAAAAAAUUUCCAGUUUCGUUUAUAUUACACCUUAUAAAAGAUAUUUUUGCAAUUUGACUCUCUUUUUAAUUGUAUACACCUUGAUCGCUUUGUCGAUGACAUGAUGUCUCUUGUCAACAAAGGAAAUGUGGUUCUCUUUGUGUCAGGGAAUGACGUGCCUACGGAUGACACGUCAGAUUUUAUUGCUACGAUUAAGCAACGCGUCGGAGACUCUGGCAAACUGCAAAUUGCGAAUUUAUCAGGUGUAAAGAAGGAAAGUCAUGGUGCUUCUACUUUUGACAUUGUCAUUGCCAUUUUUAAACAAUCGUGCACAAAUGAAGAUUUUCUAACUGAAGCGUUGAGAAUUCUGAAACCUGACGGUUUGCUUGUCAUUUAUGAACCAUUGUCGGCAGAUAGAAAAUCAGAUACGGUACUUACAUAUUCUGAAAGAAUAUCUAGACUAAAGUUGUCUGGCUUUAAAGUGAAAGAUACAGAGCAGAAGAACUGGGACGUAGAUUCGGAGAGUAAAGAUCUUUUGCUAAAGAUAUACAGCAAUGUGCAAAAUGUUUGCAAAGUAUUGGCGAGUAAACCACCAUUUGAAGUAGGCUCCAGCGUUCCUCUUUCAUUUACGAAAAAGCAUACUAAUGUAUGGAAAUUAGAUGAUCCAGUAGAAGAAGAUUUAAUAGAUGAAGAUGAACUUUUGGAUGAAUCAGACCUUGUAAAACCAGAUGCAUCUUCCUUAACAGUUUGUGCUACAACGGGCAAGCGAAAAGCAUGCAAGGACUGCACUUGCGGACUCGCGGAGGAAUUAAGUGGUAAAGCUGCACCGGAAAGCACUGUUAAAUCUUCUUGUGGCAAUUGCUACCUAGGAGAUGCAUUCAGAUGUGCUAGUUGUCCUUAUCUUGGAAUGCCUGCCUUCAAACCUGGGGAAAAAGUACUUUUGCUCGACUAACUGUCGAUUCUUAAGUUUGUCUUUUCUUUACUAGAACACAAUUACAAUAAACACGUAUUAUUCUUAUUCAUAUAACAAGAUAAUGGAGAUAAAAGUUUCUAUUCAAUAUUUUUCUACAUGUAAUUUAUCUUCUAUAAAAUGUUUUGGUCUUUUCAAGUUCUUUUCUUUCAAGGAUAAUUGUGUAUAAUUAAAUUCUACCCCUUAUUCUAUAUAGUAAAUGUUACUUGAGUAACAUGCAUGUUAUCGUAUACUGAAUUAUAUUAUUCAAGAAAUGUCAUUUUUUUAAUAUAGCGAAAUAUAAGAGCAAUAAGUUGAU